UACGUAGGGACCUAGCGUUGUCCGGAAUCAUUGGGCGUAAAGCGCGCGUAGGCGGCCCGGUAAGUCCGUUGUGAAAGUCGAAGGCUCAACCUUCGAAAGCCGAUGGAUACUGCCGGGCUAGAGUACGGAAGAGGCGAGUAGAAUUCCUGGUGUAGCGGUGGAAUGCGCAGAUAUCAGGAGGAAUACCCAUAGCGAAGGCAGCUCGCUGGGACGUUACUGACGCUGAGGCGCGAAAGCGUGGGGAGCGAACAGG
rnacentral:rRNA from 1 species